UACGUAGGGGGCAAGCGUUGUCCGGAUUUAUUGGGCGUAAAGUGCGUGUAGGCGGCUGGGUAGGUCCGUUGUGAAAACUCGAGGCUCAACCUCGAGACGCCGAUGGAAACCCUCCAGCUAGAGUCCGGAAGAGGAGAGUGGAAUUCCUGGUGUAGCGGUGAAAUGCGCAGAUAUCAGGAAGAACACCCGUGGCUAAGGCGGCUCUCUAGUACGGUACUGACGCUGAGACGCGAAAGCGUGGGGAGCGAACAGG
rnacentral:rRNA from 1 species